rnacentral:rRNA from 1 species
UGGGGAAUAUUGCACAAUGGGGGAAACCCUGAUGCAGCGACGCCGCGUGAACGAAGAAGGUAUUCGUAUCGUAAAGUUCUGUCCUAUGGGAAGAUAAUGACAGUACCAUAGAAGAAAGCUCCGGCUAAAUACGUGCCAGCAGCCGCGGUAAUACGUAUGGAGCGAGCGUUGUCCGGAAUUAUUGGGCGUAAAGGGUACGCAGGCGGUUUAAUAAGUCGAAUGUUAAAGAUCGGGGCUCAACCCCGCAAAGCAUUGGAAACUGAUAAACUUGAGUAGUGGAGAGGAAAGUGGAAUUCCUAGUGUAGUGGUGAAAUACGUAGAUAUUAGGAGGAAUACCAGUAGCGAAGGCGACUUUCUGGACACAAACUGACGCUGAUGUACGAAAGCGUGGGGAGCAAACAGG